GCACUGGUGACGAGUCCCAUAAUAGGACGAAACGGCCGUCCAAUGC
rnacentral:hammerhead_ribozyme from 1 species